CUUCUGCUGCCUCUGAGGGAGGCUUCACGGCUACAGGACAGAGGCAGCUGAGGCCAGAGCACUUUCAAGAAGUUGGCUACGCAGCUCCCCCCUCCCCACCCCUAUCCCGAAGCCUCCCCAUGGAUCACCCUGACUCCUCUCAGCAUGGCCCUCCCUUUGAGGGACAGAGUCAAGCCCCCUCCCUCUCAGGAGGCCACCCCUCUCCAACAGGAAAAGCUGCUACCUGCCCAACUCCCUGCUGAAAAGGAAGUGGGUCCCCCUCUCCCUCAGGAAGCUGUCCCCCUCCAAAAAGAGCUGCCCUCUCUCCAGCACCCCAAUGAACAGAAGGAAGGAACGCCAGCUCCAUUUGGGGACCAGAGCCAUCCAGAACCUGAGUCCUGGAAUGCAGCCCAGCACUGCCAACAGGACCGGUCCCAAGGGGGCUGGGGCCACCGGCUGGAUGGCUUCCCCCCUGGGCGGCCUUCUCCAGACAAUCUGAACCAAAUCUGCCUUCCUAACCGUCAGCAUGUGGUAUAUGGUCCCUGGAACCUACCACAGUCCAGCUACUCCCACCUCACUCGCCAGGGUGAG
rnacentral:lncRNA from 1 species